GACGAACGCUGGCGGCGUGCCUAAUACAUGCAAGUUGAGCGCUGAAGGUUGGUACUUGUACCGACUGGAUGAGCAGCGAACGGGUGAGUAACGCGUGGGGAAUCUGCCCUUGAGCGGGGGACAACAUUUGGAAACGAAUGCUAAUACCGCAUAAAAACUUUAAACACAAGUUUUAAGUUUGAAAGAUGCAAUUGCAUCACUCAAAGAUGAUCCCGCGUUGUAUUAGCUAGUUGGUGAGGUAAAGGCUCACCAAGGCGAUGAUACAUAGCCGACCUGAGAGGGUGAUCGGCCACAUUGGGACUGAGACACGGCCCAAACUCCUACGGGAGGCAGCAGUAGGGAAUCUUCGGCAAUGGACGAAAGUCUGACCGAGCAACGCCGCGUGAGUGAAGAAGGUUUUCGGAUCGUAAAACUCUGUUGGUAGAGAAGAACGUUGGUGAGAGUGGAAAGCUCAUCAAGUGACGGUAACUACCCAGAAAGGGACGGCUAACUACGUG
rnacentral:rRNA from 1 species